GUGGGGAAUCUUGCGCAAUGGGCGAAAGCCUGACGCAGCCAUGCCGCGUGAAUGAUGAAGGUCUUAGGAUUGUAAAAUUCUUUCACCGGGGACGAUAAUGACGGUACCCGGAGAAGAAGCUCCGGCUAACUUCGUGCCAGCAGCCGCGGUAAUACGAAGGGGGCUAGCGUUGCUCGGAAUUACUGGGCGUAAAGGGCGCGUAGGCGGACAGCUUAGUCAGAGGUGAAAGCCCAGGGCUCAACCUUGGAAUUGCCUUUGAUACUGGCUGUCUUGAGUUUGGGAGAGGUGAGUGGAACUCCGAGUGUAGAGGUGAAAUUCGUAGAUAUUCGGAAGAACACCAGUGGCGAAGGCGACUCACUGGCCCAAUACUGACGCUGAGGCGCGAAAGCGUGGGGAGCAAACAGGAUUAGAUACCGGGUAGUCC
rnacentral:rRNA from 1 species